UUUUGUCUAAUUUUUCCCCAAUUAGUUGAACAUGUCAUAAUCCCUAAUUCUCUCACGUCUCGUCCUUUCUUCUCCAACAAUUGUAACAAAGCUCACUCUUUUUCAUCAAGUUGAAACUGCACUUGGGCGCGCAAAUUGAUUUUACGAAUUGAAACAGUUGCUAAAGUUAAAGUGCGAUGGGAGACAUACCUUAAUCUUUAGGGUUUAUUGCCACAACCCACAAUCAUCCCACAAUAAAAAAAAAGAAAAAAAAAACAACAGACAAUCAACUAUCAAAUCACCCACACAUAAGAACUUAACUAAAAAAUCAACUAUAUAACUUACCUUCCUUUGAGAACAACAAAAGAAUCUUCUUUCUGGAUUCUUCUAAGAGUGUGAGGUUUCCUCAGUCGCUACAAUACCAUGCCCACACAAUUUCUGAAACC
rnacentral:lncRNA from 1 species